rnacentral:lncRNA from 1 species
AUACUAUGGAGAGGUGUGAUGUAUUAUCAUGUAUACAAUUGUAUUCUGUGUGAUACGAAUUACAACGUGUUUUUCAAAGGAAAAUGCAGUUACAACACAAAUGAAAUCAAAUGCACAAUAAUUAAUUUACUUUCUCAGACAAGCGAAUUCUAAACCACGAGAGUUGAGCGAUGAACGAUAACUUACGAAUGUGCCAAUACUAAAGAGAAGAAAAGCGAACAUAAUAAUUCGGAAGAAAAACACAACCAAAAUAAACAUAUUGAAUAUCGAUCAUUGAAUAUCCAUCCAAAAGACCUACACACAUAUUUAAUGUAUAUUUGUUUCACAGAAGAACAAAUACAACACGAAAGAAAUCAAGUGUGUGCAAUCAUUAAUUCAAUUUCUCAGACGAGCGAAUUCUAAACCACGAGUGUUGCACGAUGAACGAUAACUUACGACAGUGACGAUACCGAAAAGGAAAACAAAAACCGCACAAAAUCGAAAAAAGAAGAAACGCCCCCCAAAAAAAACAAAAACAAAGAGAAAAAGGAGGAUAUCCACAUAGAAAAUAUCCACUGCCCUCGCAAAUAAAAGCCUCCAGGAGCUUAUAAAAGGCCCAAUAGCCUUUUAAAUCAUCCACAUGGAAGAACACGUUGUUUUCACCAUCAUCAAGAUUAUUGUCGCUGGUUUGGACGGUAACCACAGCUCGGCGGCGUGAUGUGUAAUGCGCAUGCGGGCGGGAGGUCGCCUGGCUCUGGCCCUCCUGACUGCCACCACCCUUACGCUCCUGCUGGUGCAACACUGCCGCCUCUCCCAGCACUUGCAGGGUGAGGAUGACGGGCUCGAGCGACACCUGGCGUGGAGGGAGGAGGAGCAGAGAGCACAGACACGGCAACUCCUCCUUCAGAUAGCACAACUCAAGGAGGAAAUAGCCAAACUGCAAGC